rnacentral:rRNA from 1 species
UAUUUUAAAGAGAGUUUGAUCCUGGCUCAGGACGAACGCUGGCGGCGUGCCUAAUACAUGCAAGUCGAACGAACGGAGGAAGAGCUUGCUCUUCCAAAGUUAGUGGCGGACGGGUGAGUAACACGUGGGCAACCUGCCUGUAAGUUGGGGAUAACUCCGGGAAACCGGGGCUAAUACCGAAUGAUAAAGAGUGGCGCAUGCCAUGCUUU